rnacentral:rRNA from 1 species
AGCGAUCUGGAAUGUAAAACCAAGUAUAACAAAGGGGCUACUAGGGAUGACUAGGCAAUGGAUCGGAAUGAGGUCUAAUCCAAACUGUCGAAUCCGAUCAAGGGUAUGUUAAUCAACCCGGUCUCGACGAUCAAGGCCAAAAGGUGCCUCACUUACCUUGGGAACUGAAACAUCUUAUGUACCAAGAGGAAAGGAAAUCAACCGAGACUCUACAAGUAGUGGCGAGCGAACGUAGACAAGCUAUCUCUAUCAACUUAGACAACCUCUGUUUACGUUUAUGCGUAGCAGCAGGAAAAUGGUAGCCUUCGGACAAAGACAUAAACAAUAGCUUGGAAUAGCUAGCCACAGAUGGUGAUAGCCCAGUGAUGAUAUGACUUUGCUCCCUUUUGGCAGUGAAUUUAAUUCCUUAGAGAGAAUUGGCGGCUUGUCAAGCUGCUUUUAUAAUACCCUGUCUAUUAAGGCAGGAAAGGUGUACCAUCAUCAAAGCUAAGUAUGUUCCAUUGACCGAUAGUGCAGAGUACCGUGAGGGAAUGUUGAAAAAGCAGGUAGUAAACUGGUGAAAAGCCUGAACUAGUGGCUCCAUAAGCAGCUGGAAUCACAACAGCCAUUGACUCCAACUCAAUGUGUGAUGACAGCGUACCUUUUGUAUAAUGGGUGAAUUGCUUGCCCAUGAGGAUUGUGAAAUCCUUUAUCAAACUGACUCAUGACCAGGAAUGGUCGGUAUUAUGAUAAACAGAUAUGAAAAUUUCUGAAUAAUUGCAGCAAGAUGAUGGUGGGUGCAUGGUAAUACACCCUAGCAAAAGCGACCUUAAUUAGCCGGUGAUAGUACCAACCAUCAGACCCGAACCCAGGUGAUCUUGCCAUGGCCAAGUGCUAUUUAAUAAGACUGAACGGGUGUCCUGGACGCCCAGUUGAGGGGUGACCUUCAAUGACUCCAGUACGAAAGUAUUGGGCAAUUAGGUCCGUUGCAAGGGACUCCGAAGAGCUGUGGCAAGGGGUGAAAAGCCAAUCUAACCUGGAGAUAGCUGGUCUUCUGCGAAACCCGUUUUAGCGGGUCGCCCAUUUAUUGAAAUUAAAUUCGUUACUAGACGGUACGGCACUGGAAGCCACGCAGCUUUUGCUGCAUAAUCGGGGGGCUGUCAUGGCUCUAUCGAUGGCUUCUAACCCCGGAAAUGUAUAGUAUACAAUGAUGGGCAAUCAGACGUAUCGUGAUAAGGCGAUUCGUCAAAAGGGCAACAGCCCAGAACAGGUGUGAAGGUCCCUAACAAGCUACUGAGUGAACACAAGGCAGUCCUCUCCAGUGUCUCUCCACAAAGUGGGCUUGGUUUCCAGGCCUAUCCUUUCAUAUUUCAUAAGGAUAAAAACAUGGUUGAAAAAUCAUGAUAUAAUAUUGUGGAAGCAGCCACCUUUUAGCGAUAGCGUAACAGCUCAGUGGUCUGAGCCUCCCUGUAAAAAGGGAAUAUUGCCUGGUGAGGGCGCCAAAAAUGUAACGGGUCUAUAGUAGUUGUCUCUCUGUUCCAGCUUUGGAUAUGGAGGGAGUGGCAGUUUCUUCACUGUCUCACCGAAACCCUGUCCUAGAUGUAAAAUUCUAGGGGUAGCAGAAUACCCAGCAAAUGGAAUGAAGCUUGCUCAUUGAGCCGGUGGACAUAGCUGGGCUAAGAAUGCUGACAUGAGUAGCCUAAAAGGAGGGUAAUUCCCUCUUCGCCGAAAGCAGAAGGGUUUCAUUUGUAAGGUCUAUACCUAGAUGAUUAAAGCAGCGGCCUCUAAGGUUCAGAGUAACAAAUUAGUUCCGAUGAGUAACUCUUCUAUAGGGCAGUAACCUUCCUUAUAAGUUUACCUUCAAGUAAUUAGAGGUAUACUUCAAAGAGUAAGGUUCGGGAAAGAGCCCUACAGAAUCAAUCUUAAAACCGUACCCUAAACCGACACAGGUCUGCAAGUAGAGCAUACUAAGGCGUAGAGAUAAUCGUCUUGAAGGAACUCGGCAAAAUGACCCCGUAACUUCGGGAGAAGGGGUGCCACUAAUAAGUGGCGGCACUAAACAGGGGGGCGCGACUGUUUACUUAAAACACCGGACUCUGCUAACACUAGCGUGGAUGUAUAGAGUCUGAUACCUGCCCGAUGCUAGAUGAUCAACUAAGCCGUUUUAGGAUGGCAAAGGAAGCUCUAGUCAAUGGCGGCUGUAACCUUGACGGUCCUAAGGUAGCGAAAUUCUGCCCUGGCGUGAAUUCUACACGCUUCUAGUUGUUAGGCUGUUGUAUCAAUUUCCCUAUGAAACAAUUGGGUUCAAAUCAAGGGUUGUAUGAAUUACAAUAGAAAAUAUGAGACUCCUAACAAAUAGUAAGAUAUAGUCCAAACCCUUACUUACUAGGGUAGAGCGAAAUUCCUUGGCAUUUAAAUGAUGUCCCGCAUGAAAGGUUUAAUAGAGUUAAGCCGAAUGUGUGGGUGACCAUACAUAUUUUAUCAUCGGUGAAAGUCUAUGAAUGAAUAGUUAACGAAGCUCCCACUGUCUCCAAGACGAGCUCGGCGAAAUUGAAUUAUCCGUGAAGAUGCGGAUUACCUCCAGCUAGACGAGAAGACCCUUUGAAGCUUGACUGCAACUAGUUAGUGUGUAACCGCUACUAAGGUACAAAGGGAGUCGACUAGACGAGAUACCUUGAUCUUUGUAGUAGGUUUCACUAUAAAUGCUGGCUAGUAGGCAGUUUGUCUGGGGCGGCAAUCCUCACCUAAAGUAACUGAGGAGUCCGAAGGUGUGCUUUGCUAGGUUGGAAACCUCUCUAUGGCUAUGGUGAGCCUAAAUAAGCGCAAUGGUAUAAGCAUGCUUGACUGUGAGACCUACAAGUCUAUCAGGUAAAACCCUUUCUAUUUACCCCUUCAUAUAUCAGGUCUCUCACGGCUAAAGUUAACCUUACCUUCUUUCUUAUUUCAUCACUUGUUAGCCUUGGUUCACAGUGCAGCGCACUUGUGGAACAAGUUUGUUUUGUUUAAAGUAGUAAAGGAAUGGAAGAAGGGGUAAUUAGGUAUAAAGGGUAUAGGUAACUAGGGCAUAGUGACCCGGUGAUACAUCAUGGAAUGUUCAUCGAUCAACGGAUAAAAGCUACUCAAGGGAUAACAGGCUGAUCCUCCACGAGAGUCCAUAUUGACUGGGGGGGUUGGCACCUCGUAUUAACGCACAAUCACACCAAACUUAGAAGUAAGUUAAAAGUCAUUUUAAACAUGGUGUUAAGAUUGUUUUUGCAACAUCGGGGCACCAUAAGGAUAACCUUGUGGAAACCCUAAUGGGUGAUGAUAUAGUCUGAACUAACCGGAGACAGUUAGAAUAACACAAAGCGAUGUCGGCUCAUCCUAUCCUAGAGCAGUAUAAGGUUCUAAGGGUUCGGCUGUUCGCCGAGUAAAAGGGUACGUGAGCUGGGUUAAGUACGACGCGAGUCAGUACGGCUUCUAUCUACUGGAGGGAGUUGGAAGUAAGGAGGAAGCUAUUUUUAGUACGCGAGGACUUAAAUGGAGUGACCUCUGGUUUACCAGUUAUCAACAGCUAAUAAAGCUAUGGUAUGGCUGGAAAGCUACGUCACGAAUAGAUAACUGCUGAAACCAUAUCAAGCAGGAAACUACUCCUCUAUACUUCCUUUGAAACUUAGGGUAGACCACCCUAUUGAUAGGGCCUGGGUGUAAUAGCAGUAAUGCUUUUAGCCUCGGGUUACUAAUUGUUAAGCAACUUGGUUUUACCAGAUCGUU